rnacentral:rRNA from 1 species
AUACGUAGGUGACAAGCGUUAUCCGGAUUUACUGGGCGUAAAGGGCGUGUAGGCGGUCUUGCAAGUCAGAAGUGAAAUUCCUGAGCUCAACUCGGGCGCUGCUUCUGAAACUGCAGGACUUGAGUGCUGGAGGGGAUAGCGGAAUUCCUAGUGGAGCGGUAAAAUGCGCAGAUAUUAGGAAGAACACCGGUGGCGAAGGCGGCUAUCUGGACAGCAACUGACGCUGGGGCGCGCAAGCGUGGGGAGCAAACAGGAUUUGAUACCCUGGUAGUCCACGCCGUAAACGGUGAAUACUAGGUGUAGGGGGUAUCGACUCCCUCUGUGCCGCAGUUAACACAAUAAGUAUUCCGCCUGGGGAGUACGGCCGCAAGGUUGAAACUCAAAUGAAUUGGCGGGG